GAUAAUGCUCAGUUGGUAGAGCGUUUGCCUCACAUGCACAAGGCCCUAGGUUCAAUCCCCAGCACCA
rnacentral:tRNA from 1 species